rnacentral:pre_miRNA from 1 species
UGAUGAUGAUGAUGAUGAUGAUGAUGGCGAUGAUGGUGAGUGGCGAAUUACUUUCCGAACCGCAUUCUCGCCACUAUUAUUAUCGAUCGAA